rnacentral:rRNA from 1 species
GACGAACGCUGGCGGCGUGCUUAACACAUGCAAGUCGAACGGAAAGGCCCUGCUUUUGUGGGGUGCUCGAGUGGCGAACGGGUGAGUAACACGUGAGUAACCUGCCCUUGACUUUGGGAUAACUUCAGGAAACUGGGGCUAAUACCGGAUAGGAGCUCCUGCUGCAUGGUGGGGGUUGGAAAGUUUCGGCGGUUGGGGAUGGACUCGCGGCUUAUCAGCUUGUUGGUGGGGUAGUGGCUUACCAAGGCUUUGACGGGUAGCCGGCCUGAGAGGUUGACCGGCCACAUGGGGACUGAGAUACGGCCCAGACUCCUACGGGGGGCAGCAGUGGGGAUUAUGGCACAAUGGGCGGAGGCCGGAUGCAGCAACGCCGGGUGCGGGAUGACGGCCUUCGGGUGGUAAACCGCUUUCGCCUGUAACGAAGCGUGGGUGACGGUAAUGGUAAAGAAGCACCGGCUAACUACGUG